GAAAAUGGUAGAAUUACUGGAGCUUUUUUACCAGCGCAGAAAACGACAGAAUGGUUGGAGGGCGUGGGAAGCGCGGGGACGGAGGAUGAGAUAUUUGGAAGGGCGGAAGUUGACCUGCGCUGAGCUCGUGUCGAGAACCUUUACUGCUUAUACGUGCACGCAAUUCUCACACUUAGCUUCUCUACACUACUACUGACAAAACGGCGUCUCGUAAGUCCUAUUUAUGCUUCAUCCAUUUCUCUUCAUCUUCUCCGUCUCUUUCCACCAUACUGCGUAGAAUUGGAUAUGUAUGGCGUUAAUUGGUGUACUUUCGAGUCCGAGAAUGGAGUCUGUUGAGCUCCGAUGCUUUAGUCUAACGAAUUCGCCGUUUAGACGGAAUCCUUUGCCUUUGGAUCGGAGAAAAAAAAUUCCGAUUCGUUUGAAGAAGCUCGGGAUUAAUACUACUUGUUCGCUGUCCAGCGAGGCUUUGCCUAUGGUGGAUUCUGGCGGGAAGGACAAUCUUACUGGCUCUGCUUCCUUGGAGGAUGAUUUAAGCCAUGUAACUAAGUUUAGAAUGUCGGAUUUUAAGAUUCGUAACCGUGUUAGCAUUGGCUUUGGUGGCAGGGCCGGUGAACUAGUUUUUGAAGCAGUGGUGAAGGAUCCAAAUAGUCCAUUGUAUAAGACUAGAGUUGUGCUUCGGCAACACUUCAGUGCUCAAGCAAAGCGUAGAGGGAGAAGGGCAGUUGAGGUGUUAAAGAGACUAGCUCAUAGGAAACUCAUGUAUCAUUCUUACUCAAUGCAAGUUCAUGGCUAUGUGUGCUCGUCAACAACUGAUGAUAGCAGUUCAUUUACCCUAGUCCAUGGGUAUCAUGGGAGUCUCUCUUUGAGACAUUGGCUUCAACAAUCUGAUUGGCUCUCCACGUUAGAAGCUACUCUUGCCUUGGAUGAGGAAUCUGUUAGAAGGGUGGGAGAUGAUACAGUUGGUGGCCCAGCAGUUUCCAGACAGCUGCGACUCAUUCGAAUUUUGAUGAGAGAUCUCUUGAUUGGUGUAAAUUACUUGCACAGUCAUGGAUUUGCUCAUACAGAAUUGAGGCUUGAAAAUUUGCAUAUUAGCCCAGUAGAUAAGCACCUUAAAGUGGGUAUAUUGGGGAAUGCCUCUGAUUUUUAUGAAAGUGGACUUGAGGAUACCACAUCAUCAUAUGGUAAUAUGGAUAGGCGAAAAAUGAUGAUUGCAUUUGAUAUGAGGUGUGUUGGGUUCAUCAUGGCAAAAAUGGUACUAAGGGAGCUGAUGGACCCGCUGAAUUUUGCAAAGUUCAAAGCAUUCCUUACCAAGGCAAACAACCCAUCCUGUCUGCGUGAGUUUAUGCUACAUGCUUUUAGCCGAGAUUCGUCACCAGGAAACUUUGGUAUACAGAUACUUGACAGGAAUUCGGGUGCUGGUUGGCAUUUACUAUCCUCACUCCUUGCAACAAAUCCUAUGGAAAGAAUAAGUUGCUUAAAUGCUUUGAGGCAUCCAUUCUUAUGUGGACCAAAAUGGCGGGUAUACCCAUCUAUCGAGUUGAUUAGAUGGAGUCUUGGUUCAACUGCUGUUCGAAUCACAGAGGAAUACAUUUAUGCUCACCAGCAGCGAAAUAGGCUCGCACAUUUUAUUGAACUCAUGGAGAUCUUAAAUCCUCAUUCUAAACCUAAGCAUUGGCUGGAAAAGCUUCCUGGGAAAUGGCGUCUCUUAUACUGCACAGGCAAACACAUAGGGCUAACUCUCCGGCAGCCUUCAUUUCGCGUGCUUAUUGGUGACGGGCACCUUACCAUAUCCAAAUCAUCAAAACCCAAAACAACAUUUUCAGUCUCCUCCCACAUCGGUUUCAGAGUUGUGAUUGGAAAGGACUGGCCUCACGACAAGUCUGGCGUCAAUGGGGCAUUGCAAACAGGCACUUCUUUCACACUGAGAGCCGGUAGGCGGCUGUAUCUUACAGAGGAAACUACCACAACGAAGCUACCCUCAUCAUCAACACAGGAUUCUCAGGCUGCUUCUGUACAGAAACGGCUAUCCAGUAACCAGUGGAGAAAAGUCGUUCCUAUAAAGGAAUUCCCUUCGAGCCUCCCCGUAACCAAACUGAUAUCAGGCGAUAUUGAGGUGACAAUGUCUCUGGACGAGCCGCUAGUCCGGAAUGUAGAAAUGGCACAGAGGGUAGUUCAAGAAGUUAGAGUGCAAGUCCCUCCUGAAAUGUUUGAUCCUUCACAACUUGUCUGUGGAACGUACGUAGAUUCAAGGUUGCUCGUUCUUCGUAGUGUCAAUGGUUCUGCUCUCCUUUUCACAAGAUCUUGUACGCACGAAGAAUUGUGAAUAUAUUUGUUUUGUUAACUUGUAAACAAAUUCGUUAAUACUUAAUAGAUUAGCUUAUUAGCAAGAUUGCAAGGAUAUUUGUGGUAUCAAUUUUAAGGACCGUUGGUUGGGGCCCACUUUUGUUAUGUCCAAUAGUUAGGCUAUGGAUCAGGGU